rnacentral:misc_RNA from 1 species
GAUGAAGAGCGUAGCGAAAUGCGAUAAGUAAUGUGAAUUGCAGAAUUCAGUGAAUCAUCGAAUCUUUGAACGCAUCUUGCGCUCCUUGGUAUUCCUUGGAGCAUGCCUGUUUGAGUAUCAUGAGCAAAUCUCAAAGUCAAUUCCUUUUGUUGAUUCAAUUGGUUUUGCUUUGGACUUGGAGGCCUUGCAGAUUUCACAGUCUGCUCCUCUUAAAUGCAUUAGCUGGAUCUCAGUAAUUAUGCUUGGUUCCACUCGGCGUGAUAAGUAUCACUCGCUGAGGACACUGUUAAAAAGGUGGCCAGGAAAAUACUGAUUGAACCGCUUCUAACGGUCUAUUAAGUUAGACAAUUACCCUUAAGUUUGAUCUCAAAUCAGGUAGGACUACCCGCUGAACUUAAGCAUAUCAAUAAGCGGAGGA